GACGAACGCUGGCGGGGUGCCUAAUACAUGCAAGUAGAACGCUGAAGAGAGGAGCUUGCUCUUCUUGGAUGAGUUGCGAGCGGGUGAGUAACGCGUAGGUAACCUGCCUUGUAGCGGGGGAUAACUACUGGAAACGAUAGCUAAUACCGCAUAACAAUGGAUGACACAUGUCAUUUAUUUGGAAGGGGCAAUUGCUCCACUACAAGAUGGACCUGCGUUGUAUUAGCUAGUAGGUGAGGUAAUGGCUCACCUAGGCGACGAUACAUAGCCGACCUGAGAGGGUGAUCGGCCACACUGGGACUGAGACACGGCCCAGACUCCUACGGGAGGCAGCAGUAGGGAAUCUUCGGCAAUGGGGGCAACCCUGACCGAGCAACGCCGCGUGAGUGAAGAAGGUUUUCGGAUCGUAAAGCUCUGUUGUAAGUCAAGAACGGGUGUGAGAGUGGAAAGUUCACACUGUGACGGUAGCUUACCAGAAAGGGACGGCUAACUACGUG
rnacentral:rRNA from 1 species